GCCGGGCACGGUGGCGCGCGCCUGUAAUCCCAGCUACUGGGGAGGCUGAGGCUGGAGAAUCACUUGAGCUCAUGAGUUCUGGGCUGCAGUGCGCUAUGCCGAUCGGGUGUCCGCACUAAGUUCGGCAUUAAUAUGGUGACCUCCCGGGAGCAGGGGACCACCAGGUUGCCUAAGGAGGGGUGAACCAGCCCAGGUCAGAAACGGAGCAGGUCAAAACUCCCGUGCUGAUCAGUAGUGGGAUCGCGCCUGUGAAUAGCCACUGUACUCCAGCCUGGGCAACAUAGCGAGACCCUGUCUCUU
rnacentral:SRP_RNA from 1 species